rnacentral:tRNA from 1 species
GGUAGUCGAGGGCUGGUCGCCCGCGUCCGGCUGAUAUCCAGAUGACGCUGAGUUCGAUUCUCAGGGCUAUCAC